rnacentral:rRNA from 1 species
AGUUAUUGGAAGGGNCAAUUUNACCCUUUAACGAGUUUNUAACAGUUNUGGCNANCANCNCGGUAAUUCCAGCUCAAAAUGCAAAAAUUAUUGCUGCGUUAAAAGCUCGAGUUGGAUUUGCGCCGACUGGCNGGUCCCCNUUUGGGUGCGUACUGGUUCGGUUGGUUUACUUUGAACAACAGAGUGCUUCAAACAGGCGUCUCGCCUGAAUGUUCGUGCAUGGAAUAAUAGAAAGGAUUUGCCGAUUUUAUUGGUUUUGCUGACCGAGAUAAUGUUAACAGACAAACGGGGCCAUUCGUAUGCUGCGUGAGAGGUGAAAUUCUUGGACCGUAGCAAGACGGACUACAGCGAAAGCAUUUGGCAAGAAUGUCUUCAUUAAUCAAGCGAAAGUCAGAGGUUCGAAGGCGAUCAGAUACCGCCCUAGUUCUGACCGUAAACGAUGCCAACUAGCGAUCCGCCGGCGGUUUUCGCCCUGGUGGGAGCUUCCCGGAAACGAAAGUCUUCCGGUUCGGGGGAA